rnacentral:rRNA from 1 species
UACGAAUGUGGCAAGCGUUGUUCGGAAUCACUGGGCGUAAAGAAUGCGUAGGCGGCUUGACAAGUCAGGAGUGAAAGCCCGGGGCUCAACCUCGGAACUGCUUCUGAAACUGUCUUGCUAGAGUCCCGGAGGGGUUGGCGGAAUUCCGAGUGUAGAGGUGAAAUUCGCAGAUAUUCGGAGGAACACCAGUGGCGUAGGCGGCCAACUGGACGGGAACUGACGCUGAGGCAUGAAAGUGUGGGGAGCAAACAGGAUUAGAUACCCUGGUAGUCCACACCGUAAACGAUGUGUGCUAGUUGUUGGGCAGCUUGGCUGUUCAGUGACGGAGCUAACGUUUUAAGCACACCGCCUGGGAAGUACGGCCGCAAGGUUAAA